rnacentral:rRNA from 1 species
UGGGGAAUAUUGCACAAUGGGCGCAAGCCUGAUGCAGCCAUGCCGCUUGUGUGAAGAAGGCCUUCGGGUUGUAAAGCACUUUCAGCGGGGAGGAAGGCGAUAAGGUUAAUAACCUUGUCGAUCGACGUUACCCGCAGAAGAAGCACCGGCUAACUCCGUGCCAGCAGCCGCGGUAAUACGGAGGGUGCAAGCGUUAAUCGGAAUUACUGGGCGUAAAGCGCACGCAGGCGGUCUGUCAAGUCGGAUGUGAAAUCCCCGGGCUCAACCUGGGAACUGCAUUCGAAGCUGGCAGGCUAGAGUAUUGUAGAGGGGGGUAGAAGUCCAGGUGUAGCGGUGAAAUGCGUAGAGAGCUGGAGGAAUACCGGUGGCGAAGGAGGCCCCCUGGACAAAGACUGACGCUCAGGUGCGAAAGCGUGGGGAGCAAACAGG